rnacentral:rRNA from 1 species
AUGAACGCUGGCGGCGUGCUUAACACAUGCAAGUCGAACGGUGAAGGCCCAGCUUGCUGGGUGGAUCAGUGGCGAACGGGUGAGUAACACGUGAGCAAUCUGCCCCUGACUCUGGGAUAAGCGCUGGAAACGGCGUCUAAUACUGGAUACGAACCGUGGAGGCAUCUUCAACGGUUGGAAAGAUUUUUUGGUCAGGGAUGAGCUCGCGGCCUAUCAGCUUGUUGGUGAGGUAAUGGCUCACCAAGGCAUCGACGGGUAGCCGGCCUGAGAGGGUGACCGGCCACACUGGGACUGAGACACGGCCCAGACUCCUACGGGAGGCAGCAGUGGGGAAUAUUGCACAAUGGGCGCAAGCCUGAUGCAGCAACGCCGCGUGAGGGAUGACGGCCUUCGGGUUGUAAACCUCUUUUAGCAGGGAAGAAGCGAAAGUGACGGUACCUGCAGAAAAAGCGCCGGCUAACUACGUGCCAGCAGCCGCGGUAAUACGUAGGGCGCAAGCGUUAUCCGGAAUUAUUGGGCGUAAAGAGCUCGUAGGCGGUUUGUCGCGUCUGCUGUGAAAUCCCGAGGCUCAACUUCGGGUCUGCAGUGGGUACGGGCAGACUAGAGUGCGGUAGGGGAGAUUGGAAUUCCUGGUGUAGCGGUGGAAUGCGCAGAUAUCAGGAGGAACACCGAUGGCGAAGGCAGAUCUCUGGGCCGUAACUGACGCUGAGGAGCGAAAGGGUGGGGAGCAAACAGGCUUAGAUACCCUGGUAGUCCACCCCGUAAACGUUGGGAACUAGUUG